AGGAUGAACGCUGGCGGCGUGCCUAAUACAUGCAAGUCGAGCGCCCCUUUAAGAGGUGACAAUCAUUUGAUUGUCGGUUCCUAUGGGGAGCGGCGGACGGCUGAGUAACGCGUGGGAACGUGCCCCAAAGUGAGGGAUAAGCACCGGAAACGGUGUCUAAUACCGCAUAUGAUCUUCGGAUUAAAGCUUUAUGCGCUUUGGGAGCGGCCUGCGUCCUAUUAGAUAGUUGGUGAGGUAAAGGCUCACCAAGUCAACGAUGGGUAGCGUGGUCUGAGAGGAUGACCAGCCAGACUGGAACUGAGACACGGUCCAGACUCCGUAACGGGAGCAGCGAGUAAGGAAUCUUACACAAGUGGGACGAAAGCCUGAUGGAGCAACGCCGCGUGCAGGAUGAAGCCGUUACGGUACGUAAAC
rnacentral:rRNA from 1 species